GGGCUUUUAAAUCAUAACUUUUUACCUCCCUUAGAAAUCUGUGUUCCUACAUCUCUUGCUGACUCAGGAGACAUCACAGAACUGCUUUGCUUCUGAACCAGUUGUCCCCACUCCCCCCAUGAACCCCCGCUGGCUCUGAAAUGUACAGUCUGGGCUGCAAGAUUUAUGUAACAGAGGAUGGGCCAUUAUGUGCUGAGCAAGCUGGAGAGGCACAAGGUUGCCAAAUGGGUGUGCACCCCCUGCCCCCAAAAUGAAAGUCCAGUCUACUAUGGUUUGGCUUUCUACUACAAUAACCUAGCAAGGAACAAAGAAGCAAAGCAAUUAGUUCACAGGGCAAGGGCUGAGGAGGUGUGGAAGUCAUUUGGGACAAAAAAGCAAAAAGCUACAGAAACACUAAAGGACAAUGUGCUUCAAGGUCUGAGAAAGCAACCAAGAACUUCUCAGUGUGAAAAUGGAUUGCUUUACAGGGAUACAGUACUGCCAUUCUUUUGA
rnacentral:lncRNA from 1 species